rnacentral:tRNA from 1 species
GCGUUGGUGGUGUAGUGGUCAGCACGCUCGACGCUCAUUCGAGAGGUCCAUGGUUCGAGUCCCGGCUAGGACA